rnacentral:rRNA from 1 species
AGUCGAGCGUGAAAGUUCCUUCGGGAAUGAGUAAAGCGGCAGACGGGUGAGUAAUACAUAGGUAAUCUACCUUCGAGCUUGGGAUAACCCCGCGAAAGUGGGGCUAAUACCGGAUAAGACCACGUGGCGUAAGUUACGCGGUAGAAGGUGGCUUUUUCUUCGGAUUGAGCUAUCACUUGAGGAUGAGCCUAUGGCCUAUCAGCUUGUUGGCGGGGUAAGAGCCCACCAAGGCUAUGACGGGUAGUUGGUCUGAGAGGACGACCAACCACACUGGGACUGAGACACGGCCCAGACUCCUACGGGAGGCAGCAGUGGGGAAUAUUGGGCAAUGGGCGCAAGCCUGACCCAGCGACGCCGCGUGGGUGAUGAAGGCCUUCGGGUUGUAAAGCCCUGUCAUGCGGAAAGAACAGUUUCACGGUUAAUACCCGUGAGAAUUGACGGUACCGCAGGAGGAAGCACCGGCUAACUCCGUGCCAGCAGCCGCGGUAAUACGGAGGGUGCAAGCGUUGUUCGGAAUUAUUGGGCGUAAAGGGCGCGUAGGCGGUAAUGAAAGUCAGAUGUGAAAUACUUCGGCUCAACUGAAGAACUGCAUCUGAAACUUCAUAACUAGAGUACGGAAGAG